CUCCCUAUAGCUCAACAGGAUAGAGCUUCCGCCUCCUAAGCGGACGAUUGGGGUUCGAGUCCCUAUGGGGAGGCCA
rnacentral:tRNA from 5 species